UAGGGAAUCUUCCACAAUGGACGCAAGUCUGAUGGAGCAACGCCGCGUGAGUGAAGAAGGUCUUCGGAUCGUAGAGCUCUGUUGUUGGUGAAGAAGGAUAGAGGCAGUAACUGGUCUUUAUUUGACGGUAAUCAACCAGAAAGUCACGGCUAACUACGUGCCAGCAGCCGCGGUAAUACGUAGGUGGCAAGCGUUGUCCGGAUUUAUUGGGCGUAAAGCGAGCGCAGGCGGAAUGAUAAGUCUGAUGUGAAAGCCCACGGCUCAACCGUGGAACUGCAUCGGAAACUGUCAUUCUUGAGUGCAGAAGAGGAGAGUGGAACUCCAUGUGUAGCGGUGGAAUGCGUAGAUAUAUGGAAGAACACCAGUGGCGAAGGCGGCUCUCUGGUCUGCAACUGACGCUGAGGCUCGAAAGCAUGGGUAGCGAACAGGAUUAGAUACCCUGGUAGUCCAUGCCGUAAACGAUGAGCGCUAGGUGUUGGGGGACUUUCCGGUG
rnacentral:rRNA from 1 species